AAAAAAGCAACAUUGUAACAAAUUUAGCCCAUGUUUCGGAACAAAACAAGCGAUCCAUAGGUGUGAAAACACCCUUAGAAACCUAUUUAGAACGGCAUGAUUCUGAAGACCCUUUACAUGCUGAAAUGGUUCUUUGUGUUAGAGUUUAGGGUUCUUUUUUCCCGCCUUUUUGUUUUUCAAAUCUGUAACUGUUAAAGCCAUAUCGUUACUGGUUUUCUGAAGCUUAGCCAUUCAAUUACAUAGACUGACAAUACUCUCUCAAAAGGAGUGAGCGAGUCGAACUUUUCUUGCAUCAGAAGCAUAACUUUCCAGAGAGAUCUCCAGUCACGUCCACUAUGAAUAUGGAAGUUCAAACCAAGACGGGUGUAUGUCCAUUCCAAGAUGCAUCAUUAAGAUGUGGAUGACUUUCCUUUUUGGUCCAGGUCACCGGAAUGACCGAUAUGAAGACUCGGAUGGUUGAAAGUCACACAUUCUCUUCCCGUUAAUGACUUUGAGCCC